rnacentral:lncRNA from 1 species
AAGGUCUAGAGAUUUUUAUGGAGGAAUCAGUUUAUAAUAUCAGACAGACUGCCAGAUCCUGACAGGGACCCAAAGUCUCCAAAGAAGAUUAUGAGGCACCCCAGUUCCUGCACCUGGAUGAUGACGACAAUGACCAGUGAGCGAGAUGCUCAGAUGUGACACCUGCUGCCUGCCAGGACCUGGCCGAAACUGUGGACAAAACUGCUGGACACUGGAAAAUUGAUUGUACCCCUUUGCCUAGACAAAACAAGACACAUCUGAGUAUCGGUUGCUGACUACAGGCUGUUUCUAAGCAGACUGCGGGCCCUGGACUUGCUGUGGAUGUGAACCAGUCCAGCUGAUAUGGACACCCCCUGUCUCUGCAACAGAGUCUGCCAACCAGAAGCUCCUGAUGAUUCCCCAUUGCCUAAAUUCCCUUUUUUGCUUUUGACUAGCAUUUCAGCCUUCUUUGGUCCCUAACUUCGUCCCAAAGUCAGCAGGAAGUAGCAUGGGAAAGAAUACAUCACCCAUUUUCCAGGGUUGAAAUGCUAAGUCAGAAGGAACUCCCUUCAUAAGGGAUGCUAAUAUCUCUCACUCCCUGAUGGGGAUGCUGGAGAGACAGCAAUUCCAUGAUUGGAGUCUCCAAAAAAGAAAAAAUGGGGGAAUGAAGGGACCAGCUCCCCAUUUCGGCAGCCAUAACAGCCAAACACAUACUUGCCUGACCUUGUCUUGGUCACUAGGAGAUCAGAUGCCUGCCUCGUGGCAAGGAACCAAUCAGAAGUUAGCUGGCGGCGCUAUGCUUUACAGCUCUGGGUGUGCUUUACAGACAAGUGCACAGCAAUGACGUGCAGAGCAUAGCAACCACCCUGGGAGGGCCUAUGGACCAUAACAACCAGUUGACCAAUCAACACAGGGCAAACCCUCCAAGCCUGGAGGCACAACAAUCCUGAGCCUGUGCAUACCCCUAGACACUCCCUAAUGCUGCCCUAUAAGAGCUCUAUGCAGAUGCUUUGAGCUGUCUUUCCUAGCCAUUCCUAGCCAUCCGCCAUGGUGGAUGGAUGAAAGGCCUGAGCUAACAUGGGGUUAGCUCGUUAAACAACUGUAAUAAAGCCUCUUGCUGUUUGCAUCAAGUUUCUGCCUCUGAAUGGUGAUUGGGAUGGCCUCGGUCCUGGGCUGAGAUCCUGGGGGCCUGAGCCUCUGGGGGUCUUUCAUUAGUCAGGUUUUUGUUAUCCCUUCACUUGGGGUUCACUUCCCUGUAUGACAUCUGCAGGGAUUCCCCUCAUUGAACCAAUCCAUUUCUGUCUCUCCUUAGAAAAUGAACAGGUUUCUAAGGAAAAGUAAUAAGAUAAAACAAAACCAAAAAUAUGUUGGGGAAUAUUAGAUCACACUGUGAAGCUCGAGUUUGCAUUGAUUGAAUAAAAUUAACCUUGGG